AUGGCAGCAAAAAGACAGUAAAAUACAAUAAAAUACACAAGGUUACAUUUAUGACAUAAAAUACAGACAUGCAACAUAUGCCCAGAUAGCUUAGGUCUGAGCGCACAUUAUUACUGAAUGGCGCUCAGGACACACACAUACAGUUCAAUUGCCAUGGAGCCAAAAUCUUUCCCAUAGUCUUUCAUUAUACGAAUGGGCUCCAUGGCAUAGUUAUCUGGGGUAUCACUGCUCAAACAG